UACAGAGGGUGCGAGCGUUGUCCGGAAUCACUGGGCGUAAAGGGCGCGUAGGCGGUCUGAUAAGUAGGGGGUGAAAUUCUGCGGCUUAACCGCAGAGCUGCCUUCUAAACUGUCAGGCUUGAGCACGGUAGAGGCUGGUGGAAUUCCCGGUGUAGCGGUGGAAUGCGUAGAGAUCGGGAAGAACAUCGGUGGCGAAGGCGGCCAGCUGGGCCGUUGCUGACGCUGAGGCGCGAAAGCGUGGGGAGCAAACAGG
rnacentral:rRNA from 1 species